CCUACGGGUGGCAGCAGUGAGGAAUAUUGGUCAAUGGACGAGAGUCUGAACCAGCCAAGUAGCGUGAAGGAUGACUGCCCUAUGGGUUGUAAACUUCUUUUAUAUGGGAAUAAAAUGUUCCACGUGUGGGAUUUUGUAUGUACCGUAUGAAUAAGGAUCGGCUAACUCCGUGCCAGCAGCCGCGGUAAUACGGAGGGUCCGAGCGUUAUCCGGAUUUAUUGGGUUUAAAGGGAGCGUAGGUGGAUUGUUAAGUCAGUUGUGAAAGUUUGCGGCUCAACCGUGAAAUUGCAGUUGAAACUGGCAGGCUUGAGUACGGUAGAGGUGUGCGGAAUUCGUGGUGUAGCGGUGAAAUGCUUAGAUAUCACGAAGAACUCCGAUUGCGAAGGCAGCUCACUGGACUGCAACUGACACUGAGGCUCGAAAGUGUGGGUAUCAAACAGGAUUAGAUACCCGAGUAGUC
rnacentral:rRNA from 1 species